ensembl:lncRNA
UAUCCAGAAAAAACAACAAGCAAUUUUAAAUAUUGAGUGCUGUCCCAAUCCACGGUCUGCAGUCCUUUACUUGCACGGCCAGGUUCAAAGUAUCAGUUGCUAUAGUAACUCCCUCCUUUUACACACCAGCACUCCCCCAAUAGAUGUAUCUAAUCCAUGUGAAUCGAUGAGCCCUUAAUGAUACAAAAAUGCACUAAAACAAUCAUGGCAGCCAAGUUUUUUACUUUUGCCAUUUUUUUACACUGACCACAUUUAGCCAUAAAUUUGAAAAUAAUUCAAAAUACUGGGAUGGACACACAUUGACACACAGAGCACAGAGUGACACCGCCUGACUCAAAGGGAAGUCUUAAAUUUAUUUAAAAUUUAGACAAUCUGAGGAGGCCUUUAUGCUUUUAAUAUAUUUAACAGCAUUUUGCCAAUUUUAUAUUUUGUUAUUUCAGAAUCAAAUUCACCCACCUCACAAAAUAACUGGACUGCCUGGCCACGCUCACUGCAGGGAAUUGCACCACAGUUAGAAAGACACAGAGAGGAUGCUAGCGAUGGCGAAAGGGGUUUUGUUUUCUAUUCUAUGGAAGUGCCUCUGUAUUCCCAUUAUGCAAUUUGUCAAACAUGAAUUCAGGUUGUUUUUUCUCACAUAUAAGCUAUAGUGAAUGGUGAAAAAAACAUGUCAGGAGAGGACAAACAGUGACAGCUAACUAGAUAACCGCACGCAUCUUAUAUAUACAUAUAUAUUUAUAGAUAUAUACUUUUUUUUUUAUUUUACAUGAUAAGCUCUGUGGCAGUCUAGUUAUUUUUUGAAGCAUGGCUUAAACCGCAGUCAUAGGAUGCAUCUCAAACUUUUGUGCUGAAAUAAAACCCACAUUAGGGAAUAGGCUAAAAGCCUAUGAAAUCCAUGGCAACAUAAUCAGCAGCUUUUUAAAACUAGUGGCAUUGUAUGGUUCAGGUUUGAAUGGUACAUAUAGAAGUUCGACUAUAACAAAUAUGGUGUGGUUCUAGACGUAUAAUGUCAUGACUGACCCAGUGUAUAUGAAACAGAUUUAACACACCGUGAAACUUAAUUGUACCUGUGUAUUUAUUACAUAAUCUUCCUGUAAAAGGCCCUUAUAGGCCACAUAUAAGAAUUGAGAAUUGCUUAUCAUACAGUAGGUCCAUAUUGUAAAUUAACCAAAAGGCUUGUGUUGUAAUGUUGUCAGUAUUGUGGUCAAAUAUUAUCUUAAGGUGCCAUGGGUGACCAUUCAAAAAUGUUCUCAUUUGCAUCACACUUGUACAGCACUGUGCCAUCCCAACCUGAACCAUAUAGUACCAAGCAAUGAAAACAAGGCUAUAGUCAACAUUGAUCAACAGAAGAGGUAGUUUCUGUGUAUUUUCUUUCUCGAUAAGGUGGGAAGUGUUGUUCUUGAACUAAAUGAUGUUGAUUGAGCCACGUGCAAUGCCUUGGUAGAGGACUUUGUUUGUUAGUGAUUGUUGAGGGUGUCAUGAGAAAAGAGGGGAAACCCUUUGUCUUUUUUUCUUUGCUUAAGUCCCUUUGCCCCAGGACUCUAAAUAUGAGGGGAAAGAUUCAAAAUCCCAAUCCUUGUAAGUACGUACUUUGGGGAAAGUUGUUAUUGAUUUACAUGUUUUUUCUUUUAUUGCUUUUUUAAGAAAACCUUCAUUUGAAUUUUUAAAAAUAUGGGAAGGCUGAAGGAACAAUUUUGCAACUCAUAAAUGUAUAUGAAAACUGGUGCUUUCAAAAGUGUAAAGUACAUUCAAUCUCUAUUAUACAUAAAUAAUACAAAAUAUCAUAAGAGGCAAAUUUUUAGGAACAUGCAUUAUUACUAUUUCUCUUUUUGUAUUUACCGAGGGGGGAGGGGUUCAUGUACGCAAAGGUUGUUGUGACAAAAGGCAUUUUUCUCAUCCAACCUUUACAACAGACAUAAAAAAGGAAGUAAACAUUUAUAGCUCUUCCAUAGUUGACAUCGUUUCAACUAACUAAAUGUAACUUGUACAUUUUCUAUUUGGCAGGCCCUGAGUUUGGUCUGUCAGGCCUUUCCACCUUCAAGUGAACCCCACCCCCUUCUCCCCAUAGCCCCACCCCUCUGUCUGUAACCCCACCCUCCCACUGUAAAUGAUUAUAAAUAUUUGUUUGGUGAUGUAGUGUAAUAGACUCAGAGCAUCUUAAAGGUUGUCCCUAAAAAGUGCCUUUUGUUCACUGGUUCCAUCUUGUAAUCCUGAGUGCCCAUCUCCAAAAGAAAAAGGUCCCCUCCUUCAUACUUCUAUAUCUUUCUCUUCUUCUUCUUGAGGCUUUUUAAAGCAGUAUACAUAGUACUAAAAGAAAUUGGUGUGAUUUAGUUCCUCUUUUUAUUGUUGAAUAAUUACAAAAAGCUGAAAAACGUUAAAAAAUAUAUGUCUUGCUUCUCUUCCUCUGUAUCUGAUCUUCUGUCUCUCUUGGACACUGGAGUAGUCUGUAGCCGCAUAAGCUCCUUUCUUCUUAUUUCUUCUUUCUCUGAACGGCGGGGUUUAAAAACUACAAAAAAAAUGUUGAAAAAAAAUGAAUACGCAAAGAUUUUUUGUCUGAGCAGAAUGCAGUUAGCUCACAUGUUAUUCUUGUCUGUACGCUUCACAUUGUAUUACCAUACCCAUUUUCUUCAGCUUCUCCAUUCAAACAGCUAAUGUAAGUGAACAAGUUACACCAGUGGGCUCUGGGCCGCACUGGGGCUCAGGGGCAGCCUGCCAGGCCAGACACAGACCCCAAACUCACCCAUG